rnacentral:rRNA from 1 species
GAUGAACGCUGGCGGCGUGCCUAAUACAUGCAAGUCGAGCGAAUGGAUUAAGAGCUUGCUCUUAUGAAGUUAGCGGCGGACGGGUGAGUAACACGUGGGUAACCUGCCCAUAAGACUGGGAUAACUCCGGGAAACCGGGGCUAAUACCGGAUAACAUUUUGAACCGCAUGGUUCGAAAUUGAAAGGCGGCUUCGGCUGUCACUUAUGGAUGGACCCGCGUCGCAUUAGCUAGUUGGUGAGGUAACGGCUAACCAAGGCAACGAUGCGUAGCUGACCUGAGAGGGUGAUCGGCCACACUGGGACUGAGACACGGCCCAGACUCCUACGGGAGGCAGCAGUAGGGAAUCUUCCGCAAUGGACGAAAGUCUGACGGAGCAACGCCGCGUGAGUGAUGAAGGCUUUCGGGUCGUAAAACUCUGUUGUUAGGGGAGAACAAGUGCUAGUUGAAUAAGCUGGCACCUUGACGGUACCUAACCAGAAAGCCACGGCUAACUACGUGCCAGCCGCCGCCGUAA